rnacentral:rRNA from 1 species
AUUGAACGCUGGCGGCAUGCUUUACACAUGCAAGUCGAACGGUAACAGGGAGCUUGCUCCGCUGACGAGUGGCGAACGGGUGAGUAAUGCGUCGGAACGUGCCGAGUAGUGGGGGAUAACGCAUCGAAAGGUGUGCUAAUACCGCAUACGAACUGAGGUUGAAAGUGGGGGACCUUCGGGCCUCACGCUACUCGAGCGGCCGACGUCUGAUUAGCUAGUUGGUGAGGUAAAGGCUCACCAAGGCGACGAUCAGUAGCGGGUCUGAGAGGAUGAUCCGCCACACUGGGACGGAGACACGGCCCAGACUCCUACGGGAGGCAGCAGUGGGGAAUUUUGGACAAUGGGCGCAAGCCUGAUCCAGCCAUGCCGCGUGUCUGAAGAAGGCCUUCGGGUUGUAAAGGACUUUUGUCCGGGAGCAAAUACCCAGUGCUAAUAACGCUGGGGGCUGAGAGUACCGGAAGAAUAAGCACCGGCUAACUACGUGCCAGCCGCCGCCGUAAUAC